CAGCAGCAGCCGCGGUAAUACAGAGGGUGCGAGCGUUAAUCGGAUUUACUGGGCGUAAAGCGUGCGUAGGCGGCUUCUUAAGUCGGAUGUGAAAUCCCUGAGCUUAACUUAGGAAUUGCAUUCGAUACUGGGAAGUUAGAGUAUGGGAGAGGAUGGUAGAAUUCCAGGUGUAGCGGUGAAAUGCGUAGAGAUCUGGAGGAAUACCGAUGGCGAAGGCAGCCAUCUGGCCUAAUACUGACGCUGAGGUACGAAAGCAUGGGGAGCAAACAGGAUUAGAUACCCCGGUAGUCCCUGUCUCUUAUAA
rnacentral:rRNA from 1 species